rnacentral:misc_RNA from 1 species
AUGAGUUAGGGUCCUCCGGGCCCGACCUCCAACCCUUUGUUUAGCUACCAUGUUGCUUUGGCGGGCCCGUCUUUAACCGGACCGUCGGGGGUUUUUCAACCUCUGGCCAGUGCCCGUCAGUAGCCUACCACAAAUACUUUUUAACCAUGUUAUAUCUGAAAAUAGUUAAAAUAAACUA